rnacentral:rRNA from 1 species
UACGUUCCCGGGCCUUGUACACACCGCCCGUCACACCACGAAAGUCGGCAACACCCGAAGCCGGUGGCCUAACCCGCAAGGGAGGGAGCCGUCGAAGGUGGGGCCGGGUGAUUUGGGGGUGAAGUCGUAACAAGGUACCC